rnacentral:piRNA from 1 species
UGAAUGCCCUUAAUGCUCUUUGGCCU